rnacentral:rRNA from 1 species
UUACGCUGUUAUCCCUAAGGUAAUUUAAUCUUAUAAUCAAAAUAAAUGGAUCACAUAAAUAUAAAUCAAUAUAACCAAAACCAAGAGGAGUUAAAUAAUUCCUCUCAUCACCCCAACAAAACAUAAAAGCCCACUCACCAACAAAAUAAACAAACAACCAACAAAUGAAUAAACCAAAUGUUAAACUCUAUAGGGUCUUCUCGUCCCAUAAAAACAUUUAAGAAUUUUAACUCAAAGACCAAAUUCAAUAAAAAUAUUCAACACUAAGACAGCUCAUGUCUCGUCAAGCCAUUCAUUCCAGAUCACAAUUAAAGAACUAAUGAUUAUGCUACCUUUGCACGGUCAAAAUACCGCGGCCCUUCAACUUAAACGUCAGCGGGCAGGCCAUACUUCAAAAACUAACAAGAAAAGAUGUUUUUGAUAAACAGGCG